GACGAACGCUGGCGGCGUGCCUAAUACAUGCAAGUCGGACGCACAGUCUAUACCGUAGCUUGCUACACCAUAGGCUGUGAGUUGCGAACGGGUGAGUAACGCGUAGGUAACCUGCCUAUUAGAGGGGGAUAACUAUUGGAAACGAUAGCUAAUACCGCAUAACAGUAUGUAACACAUGUUAGAUGCUUGAAAGAUGCAAUUGCAUCCCUAGUAGAUGGACCUUCGUUGUAUUAGCUAGUAGGUAUGGUAAUGGCCUACCUAUGCGACGAUACAUAGCCGACCUGGUAGGGUGAUCGGCCACUCUUGGACUGAGUCACGCCCCAGAAUCCUUCGGGAGGCAGCAGUAGGGAAUCGUCGGCAAUGGGGGGAACCCUGAGCGAGCAACGCCGCGUGAGUGAAGAAGGUUGUCGGAUCGUAAAGCUCGGUUGUUAAGGAAGAACGAGUGUGAGAAUGGAAAGUUCAUACUGUGACGUUACUUAAGCAGAAAGGGACGGCUAACUACGUG
rnacentral:rRNA from 1 species